GUAGGGAAUAUUGGACAAUGGGCGAAAGCCUGAUCCAGCCAUGCCGCGUGAUAGAUGAAGGCCCUCUGGGUUGUAAAUAUCUUUUAUCUGGGAAGAAACUCCUCUAUUCUCAGAGGCCUGACGGUACCAGAGGAAUAAGCACCGGCUAACUCCGUGCCAGCAGCCGCGGUAAUACGGAGGGUGCAAGCGUUAUCCGGAUUCACUGGGUUUAAAGGGUGCGUAGGCGGGUUGAUAAGUCAGUGGUGAAAGCUCAGGGCUUAACUUGGAAACUGCCAUUGAUACUGUCAGUCUUGAAUGUCGUAGAGGUAAGCGGAAUGUUGCAUGUAGCGGUGAAAUGCUUAGAUAUGUUACAGAACACCAAUUGCGAAGGCAGCUUACUAUGCGAUAAUUGACGCUGAGGCACGAAAGCGUGGGGAGCAAACAGGAUUAGAUACCCGGGUAGUCC
rnacentral:rRNA from 1 species